rnacentral:ncRNA from 1 species
AUAAGAUGAGAAGACCCUAUGGAGCUUUAAUUUAUUAAUGGAAAUAAAAACUCAAAAAAAAAAAAAAGCCUACAGGCCCUAGCCUACUAUCCCUGCAUUAAAAAUUUUGGUUGGGGUUACCUCGGAGCAUAAUCCAACCUCCGAACAACCUAAACUAAGACUGCACUAGUCUAAGCGAGUUAACACACAUUGACCCAAUAAUUUGAUCAAUGGAAUAAGUUACCCUAGGGAUAACAGCACAAUCCUAUUCUAGAGUUCAUAUCGACAAUAGGGUUUACGACCUCGAUGUUGGAUCAGGACAUCCUAAUGGUGUAGCUGCUAUAAGAGUUCGUUUGUUCAACGAUUAGAAUCCUACAUGAUCUGAGUUCAGAUCGGAGUAAUCCAGGUCGGUUUCUAUCUAU